GCGAGUGUAGCCAAGUGGUUAAGGCAGUGGUUUGUGGUCACCAUCAGUCGUGCGGAUCGACCCGUCAUUCGCC
rnacentral:tRNA from 1 species